UAGGGAAUUUUGCGCAAUGGGCGAAAGCCUGACGCAGCAACGCCGCGUGAUCGAGACGCCCUUCGGGGUGUAAAGAUCUGUCAGUGGGGACGAAAAAUGACGGUACCCACAGAGGAAGCACCGGCUAACUCCGUGCCAGCAGCCGCGGUAAUACGGGGGGUGCAAGCGUUGUCCGGAAUCAUUGGGCGUAAAGAGUUCGUAGGCGGCACGUAAAGUCUGGUGUUAAAUGCAGAGGCUCAACUUCUGUACGGCACUGGAUACUUGCGAGCUAGAAUGCGGUAGAGGUAAAGGGAAUUCCUGGUGUAGCGGUGAAAUGCUUAGAUAUCAGGAGGAACAUCGGUGGCGUAAGCGCUUUACUGGGCCGUAAUUGACGCUGAGGAACGAAAGCCAGGGUAGCAAA
rnacentral:rRNA from 1 species